UAAUGGGACUGUUUACGGAGCUAGGUACUUCUUAUGAGGGGUUGUUGCCUUGAGAGGGAGCCUUUGCUUGCGGGGGUGUGGUAGCACUAGAUGGCGAAGGGUAGCAGGGAAAGAAAAAAAAGGUACCUGUGCCCUCUAGCGGUACAGGUUUGCAAGUAAGGUGUCAGGAUUUGAACGGAGCUUAAAACGCUAGCUGGUCUAGCAGUUAACGGAGUUAAUCACUAGACCAACUAGAGCUUACUUUGAGGAAGACUAAAAAAAAGGUAACAAAUAGUUCGUUAAUUCACCUUGAAUGCAAUAUUUGCAUUAUAAGCGGAGCUGGUCCAUCAAUAUGGAUACGUUGCCACGGUUGAUUCCAGUGUUUAGUACAGCGAAUUCGAUUACAUAUUUCGCUAUCAUUUUGAUAUAUAAUGGGUAUCUUGGUCCAUAUCUGCAUUAGUUUGUUAAACGUUUAGUUGCAGUAAUGCAUUCCUCGUUUCAUUAAAGUACUUUUCUUUUUCCGCUUCGAAUUGUUGUAUACUUUCAAGUAUUUGAUUCAUUUUAAUCUAGAAAUUGUAUAAUUACCAUAUCGAUGUAAAAAUGUAAACUCACCACUCAAUCACCGCGCACAGUUGCAUGUAAAUGAAUUGUAAUCAAUAUCCGCCUUAGUCCUUUAGAUAACAGGAAAAGAGUAACCGCAGCGAGCAAUUAAAGUCGCAUACACACGAAACAUAAAAAAGGCUACGUAUAUAGGUACUAUAUAACGCGCAUGUCUUAUAAUCAGUGUAAAAGAGUCGAUACUAAUCCUUGGGACAGCAGUAGCGGAUCGAAUCGUGCUACCUACAUUAUGAGCGAUCAACAAAACAAUUUGAACCUGUCCUCAAAGAGCUAUGGAGUGAGGAAAGCGCAAAUUUUAGUUGGAUUGAUAAUUCGGCAGAAACGAUAGUCACAGAUUCGACUUUAAUAUCAACAUGAUCUUUAAUUCUCGAUGGAGUGAUUAGACUAGAACUGUGGCAUUGAAGGAUUUUGCGCCAUCCGUGCAAGUAUUUUGUAAUCAGGCAUAUUUCAAAUAUUAAAACAGAGCGUAUAAUUCGGCUCAUGUUAAAUGGUCUGGAAGAUCAGCAGAAUCAGGAAAGGUUUAUUGGCUGUGGCAUAACAAUCGAGGCAGUUAAUUUUACACCAUUUUACAUAGUGUUCUGUUAAUCAAAAAAGCGAUCACCCUCCUUUUUGCUGCCGUAACUGCUGUGAACCAAAAAUUAGACAACUUUAAUGAUCAUUCCAUGUACUGAACGUAUUACAACUUCAUAUGUGCAGUAGAAGAAACACUUCAUAGGGAAGUUAAAACACAUGACGAAAGCAUUUUGUCAAGAGGGAAAUUUUUCUGUCAAAACCUCUAAAUUAUUAAAAUCGAUAGUUGAAUGCAGGCAAUGGACAACUGAUUUAACGUUUUGUUAGAAAUUGUAAAUAUUUACCCUGAAACGUUUAAGGAUGUUAGAGAUAAGCUAAGAAUAUUUUAAAAAAAGCUGUAUGUUAUUAAUAAAACACCUUCAUAAGUAUAAUCACUCUUUUAUUUUCUAAUACAAGUACGUCUAGGUUGUAAAUAAGGUUUAACAUGCUUAUCAAAUUUGAUGAGAUUAGAUAAUACAUCAUAAAGCUGUUCUAGUAGCCCCUUAUUAGCGCAAUGAAUCUUGAAUAAAGAUAAAUCCAGGAUUCCUGUUUGAGUCACCUGCUCCGAAAAUUCACUAUAUUUAUAAAAUUUAUUGUUGUUAUCAAUAAAGUAGAGAUAACCAUCAAUAUAUUUAAACACGGAUGUGAAUUUGUUGGGGAUGUAAGGAAAUGUUUGGCUGUAUAUCAAUCGAUUCUUCGGUUUAUUAUUGCAAUCAUCAAACUCGAUCACUUCGUUCGAGCCAUGGUAAAUAAGUGAGCGUCCAGAAUAAGUGUUAAAUGCAGCGUUCACUGCACCUGGGAUCCCAAAUCGAUGAUAGGGCUGAGGCCAUCCUGCUAGCAAUUGUAAACUAGGGAACUGCACUAUGUAAAUUUGACCUCCGCUAAUGAAUAUAAUGUCACUAUUAGGUUUCUGAUAUAUCGCUUCGAAACGUUCGAAAGAUUUCGGAAGGAACGGCAGCCAUUCGAAUAAAUUCCUCGCGGUCUCAAUGUAAUUACUACCUAGAGCUGAUAUCCUCACCCAAUGUUUGUAAAACAUAUAAAUUCGUUUGUUUAAAAUUAAAAAGCGUUCCACUUGAAUUGCGCACAAAUCGGGUGGUUCACUAGAUGACGCUUUUUCUUCAGAGUAGUAUCAGCAGUGGUGCUUGUAGUUUUUGUAGUAGUAGAAGUAGCCUUCUUCAUUGGGAUCUAGCUUCUGUAUACCUACGAUAUCAUCAGCGCCCAAAUCACGCUUAUCGCGAGUUAUAUAGGGAAACAUAAUUGCAUCUUCAUCCUUCGAAUGUUCUAAUCCCAGUGCAUGAUCUAUCUCAUGAACUAAAACCGCAUAGUAGCUAGUUGAAUCUGCAGGCGGUAUAUUUGAAUCCUCAAAGUACCAUGCUUCACUUCUAUCCAUAUGUAAUGUCUACCGGAGUCUGACUGCGUUUUGGAAAGUUGGCAUGUGCUAGUUUGCCACCUCGACCGUCUAAGGCCCGUUGAGAUGUGGAAUGGGGAUUUAAAUACAUCGAAUGAUUGAGGCUUUGAAAUGUUAUUAAUAUUAUCAUAUCCAGAAGUUUUAUACGCAAAUUUUAAAUUUGCAUAUCUUCCUCAAGUUUGGAAAGCUUCUCUAGUGCGGGCUAGCGCUCGAUAAUCACUAUAUGCAAGAUGAUAAUAUAUUGUUUUCUUUUCCCAUUUAUAGGGUGCUACCGAAUAGGAGCUCAAAAUAUCUUCGUUUCCGCAUCUAGGUCUCACCAUAAACCCAAAAGUGUCAUCAUAGAAUUCUUCAUCCGUAGGUAGCUUGUAAUAUUCUUGAAAUGCUUUUAAUUUGUUACUAGUUCUGGAGUUAAAGACCUUAUUUUCUCUUCGUAAAGCCAUUGAAAGUUAUUCUGAGGUAAACACUGAAUUUGAGCCCAACCAUAUAAAUUAACCAUAUCCGUGUAUAGAAUAUGAGAGGACGGCUUGCUAGAAUCAUAGUUUUCCAUAUACUUGUUGAUUGCUUUACUAUAUUUCGUGCAGCACUGAGUUAUUCUGCCUCUUAUUCCCUUUUCCACGAACAAUACCAUAUCGAUAUCAGAUAAGAGAUCCAGUUUUACCUUUGUAUAGUUGAGCAUGCAUUGCCACGAACCUGGUGCGGUAAAGAAAAACGCGGGGUCUAGUUUAUGCGUUGUUAUGCAUUUCUCUCUAAAAUUGGUGAAGACGUCGGCGAGCAGAAGCACAUCGCUCGUUAGAUAAAGGUCGCUAUAUUGACCCAAAUUUUGAAUGUAAAAUUUACGCCAAACGUUUCUAGCAUGGGAAUAUUGCUGAUCCGAAAUGUCGAAUUGCGUUAUCUGCUAUAAAAUUUGCUUUUUUCGGGAAGCGAUGAUUCCUCGAAUUUCGUCCAAUCAUCCUUGUAUUCGUACGGAAACACAUAUUUUUUAGUUAAUAACUUUAACUGCUUAUCGUUUAAAUGGCCUUAGAGCGUAAAAUUUUAAAAUCGUCAAAUUUUAAAUAUGAUGCCAAUUUGUCUAAUGAUGAAUCCAUAAAGCGAAACGAAUCUACAAAUCUGAAUUGCACUGUAGUGUCCUUCAUGUGCUUAGUGAAUGAGAUGUAGCGCUCUUUGUUUUUAGGCAAAAGUGUAACUUUACCGGGAAUAGCUUGUGCAAUGUUUUUAAUAAUAACAUUACUAUCGUAACCGCUGAAAUUAUGGAAAAAUAUUGGAAUCAUGUGAAGGGGCCUUAUAACGAAGAUUGCAAGCCUGAUGGGCACUAGAUCGAAAUCGGCCUGUAAAGUGACAGUGAUCGCGAACUUUGACCCCCCUCCAGUAUCGGCCCUUCGCAAAUGUGACAAUGAGUGCUUACAUUAUACGCGAGCAUUUGCAUAUCACUCAGCGGUGCCAUUGGCAUGGGUGUAUCGAAAUAUCGUUGCAAAAAACGCAUCAUCCACGAACCAUUCCCUGGCAUGGUGAAGAACAUCGAGAUUUGGUCUUUUUCCAAAGCUCAAUAUUAUAUUAAGGACAGGUCCACUAUCAGCAAGUAAAAAAUUUUCAAAAAAUCCUGGUCGAACUUCGUAUGCCGAAUAAACUUAUGGGAUAACUAAUUGCUCCAAAUUUGCAGGAUUUGGGGGAGCCGCACGGAUUUCCAACCUUUUCCUUCUCACAGUCUUUUUAAGCGUUUGGGAUCGAGGAAGUGCACCUCGAGCUGCAUCUAAAGUGCAUUCAUUCAGAACUUGUGGGUUCAAUAGUGUCAGCUGCACGACGUUUAAACCUGAUAAAAAUGGCUCAAACGAAGCACGUGCUGAAGUUUAGUGCCAUUCAUUGUGAAUUACUUCACCAGUGCUGAUGAAACAAAACUUAUUCGAAGAGGGGAAAAUGCAGUGAAAUUAAACCACGUAGAACAGUGCUGAACUACUCGAUCGAUUGUACGAUGUAGAGGUAUAUCUAUAAGGAUGGCGAAAUCGAGAAAACAAAAUGUAGCUGUCCUCGAGGGCAAUCAUGCCAUCAUGUAGCGGCUUUGUGUAUAUAUGGCCAUCAUAAUAUUUCAGUACCCGAUGUUCAGUGCCAGUGGGCUAAACGGAAAUCGAAGGAAAUCACCACGAAAACUGUUGACGAAAUUUAUCGGGCCAUUCAAAUCUUCAUCUUCAAAUAAAGAGUAAUGUUUUAUAGAGAAGGUGCUAGUGAAUGAGGAAAAAAUUAAAUCCAUCAUCAGUGAAGCCACUAUUGGCCAGGCCAAUAAUCAACAUUGGCUUAUUUGUAGAAAAAAUCGCUUAACCGCAAGUAAUUUUGGAGCAGUAUUGGCUGCAAUAAAAAGGAACCGCUAUCCCCCAUCACUGUUUAGGCGAUUAAUUGAGAGAUGAACCGGAAGCUAUAGAGCAAUUCCAAGCCAUCACAAAUCUCCAAGUUACACCUACAGGAUUGUGGUUGCAUCGGUGUGGUUUUCUUGAAGCAAGUCCUGAUGGAUUUGUAGGACAUGAGUGUAUUAUAGAGAUGCCCAUACCAAUUUCGAAAUAAAAUUUUAAAGGAGGAACUUAAAGCAAAUAUGUCUUAUAUUGUUUGUUAUGAUGAUGAUACUAUCGUAAUUAAUCAAAAUCACCAAUAUUAAGCACAAAUUCAACUCUUGUAACGGAAGCUUGUUAAAUUUUUCAAGUUUUGUGGAUUUCAAAAUUAUAUUUGAGUAGAAGUGUGUAUCGAUGAUUCAGAUUUCUGGGAAGUUGUAGUUUUCAUUAAAAAUAACAAACAUUUUUUUUGUCGAGGUAAUUAAGUUUCAAAUAUCGUGAAAUAUAAGAUGAGUUAUUGGUUUUGGACUUCCUAUUUUGGGCUAGUUAAUGAUUAGUACGUGAUUUAAAAAAGGUCACUGGUUAAAAGACGCAAUUGAUUCUAAGAAAAAUAUGUAAUUAAACAGCGAGGCUAAAAAAUUAUGAGUUUGUUUAUUUCCGGUCACUCGAUGGGAGCGUUAAUUACGGGCGCUGGUUUUGUCGUUGAUAUUCACGCGGAGCGUGGAUACCGUCGCAGAAAACGCGGCUACGGGCCACUUAAGUAAUGAGGUGCUGGGUAUUAAAGACCUAAACCUAACUUACAAUGAACUUACUUAGAUUAUAAUAAAUUAUAACCCAGCUUGGAAACGGUCUGGGAAUCUGACACUUCUGCCAGAGCGCGUAGUGAUUAACCUACUAUUUCCUAAGCUUACAUCGCUACUUACAUUACUAUUUACAAUCACCGCGGGAACAGGAUUCCCGGCGUCGCAUUUAACCUGAAUAGUGAAACCCUGUUCGUCGUCAUCGCAACUUUCAUCAAACUGAUCUUGCUCGGCGAUAUUUUCUGAUAGCGUAAAUGCCGGUUUUAAACGGUCGAUGGAGACGCGACACUUUUUGUCAUUGACUUCAAUUAUGAAAGAUUUUUCGUCGCGUUCCAACACUAUAUGGUCCGUCGUACGGAGGGUCAGAUAAACCGCGCACCGCGUCACGGCGAAGAAAAACGUAUGGAGACGUUGUUAAUUCUUUGAACACAAAAACUUUCUUUUCGCCAUGGCGCCGUACCGGAGUUGGUUUAAUAUCGCUCAUGCGUUUCUUUAAAUCGACCACAAAUUUAGACGUCGGGUGGUCAUUACGCGUCAGGAAAAAUUCCGCAGGCAAUCUUAGGCUAGUCCCGUAAACUAAUUCGGCAGCUGUAGUUGCCAGAUCCUCCUUAAUCGCGGUACGGAUCCCUAGCAAAACGAUUGGCAAAGUAGCAACCCAAUCAUUGCCACCAUGGCAUUUUAUAGCGGCCUUGAGUUGCCUGUGAAAUCUUUCGACUAAACCGUUCGCUUGUGGAUGAUAACUUGUCGUACGAAUACGUUUUGUACCUAACAAGUUGCAUAACUCUGCAAACAACGCGGAUUCGAAUUGGCGUCCUUGAUCGGUUGUUAUACGCGAAGGAAUACCAAAACACGCUAUCCAUGUUGAUAAAAACGCAGUUGCGACGGUCACUGCUUCCAUAUCCGCGAUUGGGAUUACUUCAGGCCAUCGAGAGAAGCGGUCCACACACGUCAAACAAUAUCUGUAGCCUUGACAAUAACUCAUGCUAAUGAUAUCUAAAUGGACAUGUUCGAAACGAUCAGCCAUAUUCUCGAAUUGCUGAACAGGCGCGGAAACAUGACGAGUCACUUUGCAUCGCUGGCACGAAAUGCACGCACGCGUCCAUUCUCUGCAAUCUUUGUUUAUUGCAGGCCAAACGAAACGCGAAGUAAUUAGAUGCUGUGUAGCACGAAUACCAGGAUGGGAUAAACCAUGUAAUGAAUUGAAAACGGCGCGACGAAGAUGUAAUGGGACAAAAGGUCGUAUUACGUCGCCAGUCGUAUCGCAAUACAAAUUCGUAUUGUAUUCUGGAAAAUAAACUUUUUUAAGAAUUAGCGUUUGUUGCUCACGAGAUAACCAAUCUCGCAACUCCUUGUCCUUCUCUUGGGCGGCAGCGAGAGAAACGUGAUCAACCGCAGGGGAGAUUGAUUGGACACGGGAUAAUGCAUCAGCCACAAAAUUUUCAGACCCUUUAAUAUGCUGGAUAUCAGUUGAAAAUUGGGAAAUGAAAUCUAAAUGUCGAAAUUGACGCGGAGAGCACUUAUCCAAUUUUUGAUUGAAAGCAUAAAUUAAUGGUUUGUGGUCGGUGAAAAUUGUAAAAUUCCUACCUUCUACCAUGUGUCGGAAAUAUCUAAUCGCGCUGUAUAU